rnacentral:rRNA from 1 species
CAGUCGCCGCGGUAAUACGGAGGGUGCAAGCGUUAAUCGGAAUUACUGGGCGUAAAGCGCACGCAGGCGGUCUGUCAAGUCAGAUGUGAAAUCCCCGGGCUUAACCUGGGAACUGCAUUUGAAACUGGCAGGCUGGAGUCUUGUAGAGGGGGGUAGAAUUCCAGGUGUAGCGGUGAAAUGCGUAGAGAUCUGGAGGAAUACCGGUGGCGAAGGCGGCCCCCUGGACAAAGACUGACGCUCAGGUGCGAAAGCGUGGGGAGCAAACAGGAUUAGAUACCCCGGUAGUCCCUGUCUCUUAUAC